rnacentral:rRNA from 1 species
AGCUCAAAUUUGAAAUCUGGUACCUUCGGUGCCCGAGUUGUAAUUUGGAGAGGGCAACUUUGGGGCCGUUCCUUGUCUAUGUUCCUUGGAACAGGACGUCAUAGAGGGUGAGAAUCCCGUGUGGCGAGGAGUGCGGUUCUUUGUAAAGUGCCUUCGAAGAGUCGAGUUGUUUGGGAAUGCAGCUCUAAGUGGGUGGUAAAUUCCAUCUAAAGCUAAAUAUUGGCGAGAGACCGAUAGCGAACAAGUACAGUGAUGGAAAGAUGAAAAGAACUUUGAAAAGAGAGUGAAAAAGUACGUGAAAUUGUUGAAAGGGAAGGGCAUUUGAUCAGACAUGGUGUUUUGUGCCCUCUGCUCCUUGUGGGUAGGGGAAUCUCGCAUUUCACUGGGCCAGCAUCAGUUUUGGUGGCAGGAUAAAUCCAUAGGAAUGUAGCUUGCCUCGGUAAGUAUUAUAGCCUGUGGGAAUACUGCCAGCUGGGACUGAGGACUGCGACGUAA